rfam:Asian citrus Psyllid, Diaphorina citri - Florida Strain, whole genome shotgun sequence.
GCCUAGUUAGCUUAGGUGGUAGUGCGUCUGCCUUGUAAGCGCUAGGCCGCGGGUUCGAUUCCCGCCCGGGGCG